UUCCCUGGUUUCGUAUGAUUACACAUUGUGGACGCUCUCCCGCCGCACGUUUCAACCGGAAGUCUUUGCUGUUCUCCAGCAUUCUUUUUUCUUUUUUUUCCAGCAUUCCUAGUCUUUUUGUUUUGUUUGAGCCAUGAAGUACACUUGACCUGCACGUCGCCUCCCGGGAUUUCUGCAUGUCGGGAACACGCCAACAAUCGCCGUCAUGUGACCAGAGCGUCACGGAAGAGAGGGGAAACAAGCUCAACCUACAAAAAAAACUGCAGCACUUUCUCUGUCAACCUUCUCUGACAUUUACAUGAACCUCCCUUCAAAUCCUCUGGAGAAAUAACCUUUAUGGAGGUAUUCUAGCAGCACGGGCUUCUCUUUCUGCCAGCGGCCAUUUAGGAAGGCGGUGAGAGCCUGCUCCUUGAUCAAGUCGCCAUCCACGAAGGGGCCCCACGUCUCAAACACCUCCAGGAACCUGAACGGAUUCACAAGUCUGGAACCUGACGGAGAAUUCCCAGUUAACUUGGAAAUGCAACCACGGCCUGCGGUGUGAGAGACCGCAAGCAGACCACAUCGCUGACGGAACAGUUGGUCCUCUUGGCAAAGUCUUUGCCCAGCUUCAGGGCGUCGUGUCUGAGAGAUCAAGAACCUUGAAUUAUUGUUAUUGUUUUGUUGUUCUAUUUGUUGUCCUGUGUUAAAAUACAUCCUGAAAGAACUUUAGAUAUAAGUAAAUAUUAUAUUUAAAAUACAUCCUGAAAGAUCUUUAGAUAAAAGUAAAUAUUAUAUUUAAAAUACAUCCUGAAAGACCUUCAGAUUAAAAGUAAAUAUUA